UCGUAAAGUUCAUCAGAUAUAAGUCCCAUGCCAUGCAGAAAUGGAAUUCUACCAUCUUCAUCAAUCUUGUAAUCUGUCACUGGAUUUCCAGCAAUGUAUCCCUGUGAAAUUAUACAUUCAUAAUGAAAGAAUCUUACUUUCGUCAAUUGCAAGUGUAAGUGUAGGUACAAUCAUUCCACUAUAUGAGUCACCUCCAAUAUAGAGUGGAUUCAGUGAGAACCGGGGAUGGUCAUGAAGCCACUUUACCUUUCUAAGGAAAAUUAGAAGUUGUUUCACAGCAUUGGUAUCACUAGACUUGGAACCCUCCUCUGUGGCUGCAUAUGAGAACCCUGCCCCUACAGGAGAAUCCACAAAGAUUAUAUUGCUAACCUUAGUCCAUGUCUCUGGUCGGUAGAUAAUUAUGGGCAAUCCUCCACUAUAGUAUCUAGAUGGACGGAGUAUUACCUAUCUCAUGGGCUAGGCCAGAGAUGCUAGAGCAGCCAGGCCCACCUGUUAGCCAGAGCAAAAGUGGGUCUAGAUCAGGAUUCUUCUCUGACCGGACAAAGUAGUAGAAGAGCUGCACGCCAGUGCUCUCUAUAUAUACAUACCCGGUUUCGAGGGAGAAUGGCAAUGGGCCGUCGAACCCGGGCAGGCUCGACACGGCGACACAGGCCGCCGCCGUCCACGACGACGAGGCCACCCAAGAAACGAAGCAGCAGCAGGCGAGCCACCACCACGUCAAGCAACGGCGGCUGGUGGUGCUUCUCGUCGCCACCAU
rnacentral:sRNA from 1 species